AAAAAGAAGCAAACCAAGAAACAGACUCUUAACUAUAGAGAAAAGCUGGUGGUUACCAGAAAGGAGGUAAAUUGGGAGGGGAAUGGGUGAACUAGGUGAUGG